rnacentral:lncRNA from 1 species
AGACGACCUGUCUCCCCUCUCCCUCCCCGCCUGUGAAGAUGGCGCUGUCCAGGGUGUGCUGGUCUCGGGCUGCUCUGUGGGGUUCGACCGUCGCCCCUGGACCCUUUGUCACCCGGAGGCUGCAGUUGGGCCGCUCUGGCCCUGCGUGGCGAGCCCCUCGGUCUUCAAAGCUUCACCUUUCUCCAAAGGCGGACGUGAAGAACUUGAUUUCUUACGUGGUGACCAAGACGAGGGCGAUUAACGGAACGUACCACCGUUUCUUGGGGCGUCACUUCCCCCGCUUCUAUGCCUUGUACACAACCUUCAUAAAAGGUAAACGCUAACAUCGAAAUCCCCGAAUCCGCUCUCCUGGCAGCGUUAGUUACAGUCAGUGGAUGUGCGGGGUCCACUGCAGCGCUGUGAAUUGGGAGGCCUUCUCUUCCUCCAGCGUUUGAGCAGUAAUUCUUACAAAUUGUCAUGGCCACCUCUUAAGUAUCUAGAAGGAUGUUAUUAGGGUAGACAGGUCACCUCUUAUCUGACAUCACAGGAGAGAGCAGAGGAGAUAUAUUCUAAUUUCCUUAGAAAUUCCUUGUCCUGCACAAGAGCAGGGGACU